rnacentral:rRNA from 1 species
CCCAAAUUGCUCAAGGCGACGACGGGUAGCCGGCCUGAGAGGGCGACCGGCCACACUGGGACUGAGACACGGCCCAGACUCCUACGGGAGGCAGCAGUGGGGAAUAUUGCACAAUGGGCGAAAGCCUGAUGCAGCGACGCCGCGUGAGGGAUGACGGCCUUCGGGUUGUAAACCUCUUUCAGCAGGGAAGAAGCGAAAGUGACGGUACCUGCAGAAGAAGCGCCGGCUAACUACGUGCCAGCAGCCGCGGUAAUACGUAGGGCGCAAGCGUUGUCCGGAAUUAUUGGGCGUAAAGAGCUCGUAGGCGGCUUGUCACGUCGGUUGUGAAAGCCCGGGGCUUAACCCCGGGUCUGCAGUCGAUACGGGCAGGCUAGAGUUCGGUAGGGGAGAUCGGAAUUCCUGGUGUAGCGGUGAAAUGCGCAGAUAUCAGGAGGAACACCGGUGGCGAAGGCGGAUCUCUGGGCCGAUACUGACGCUGAGGAGCGAAAGCGUGGGGAGCGAACAGGAUUAGAUACCCUGGUAGUCCACGCCGUAAACGGUGGGCACUAGGUGUGGGCAACAUUCCACGUUGUCCGUGCCGCAGCUAACGCAUUAAGUGCCCGCGGGGAGGAGAGACGGGACCGG